rnacentral:lncRNA from 1 species
AUACUUUUUAUUUAUCAAGUCCGAGACGAAAACGCCAGGUGGGCUAUUAGCAAGACCAGUACUCACAAGCUAUUACAAAAGUGAACAUUUCAAAAGAAGACCACAUGACCCGUACAAUGUUUACACCAGUCCAAAUGAGGCCAUUCUUUGCGCAGACUCCUUUCAGAGUAUGUACACUCAAAUGCUCUGCGGUCUUUACGAGCGCGAGCAAGUUCUUCCCCAAAUGAGGCCAUUCUUUGUGCAGACUCCUUUCAGAGUAUGUACACUCAAAUGCUCUGCGGUCUUUACGAGCGCGUGCAAGUUCUUCGGCUUGGUGCGGUCUUUGCCUCCGGC